rnacentral:lncRNA from 1 species
AGCACCAGAAGAUCUGUCUUAAGGCUUUAAAGAUGAUUUCAUAGAGGAGUGUCUAAGGGACGGAACAUGAACUCACGCAAUGUUCCCACUUAGUCAGAGCAGGGCAGGCAGAGGGGAUUCAUCAAAAUGCCUGCCUCCUUUGGCUAGGACCCCAUCGCACACCUCCCUGAGUCAUUCUUAUGUCGCCCCAGAGGCUCACCGACGAUGUGGGCGCAAAAUAAAAAGGGUUUCCAAAUUGCUCCUUGGAACAGGCAAGUGGAAGACAAUGUGGUACACAGAAAGAACCCGGGCUUGGGAGGAAACGCAGAAUCCCAUCUGUGUCUUUCUGGCUCAGGGACUGUGGGUGAGGUCCCACAUGUCAGUUACCUACUUUGCAGGGCUGUAAAGAUGAGCAGGAGCUGGCUGCAAGAUGCCUGGGAUGCUCACCAUUGGUGCUCAUGCUAAUUUUUAUCCUAAAAUCAAGAAAGGAACAAAUAAGUUCCCUAACUGAUCUUCAUCAGCUACAGAUGAAGAUAUUAACUUCAGUGUUGCACGGCCCCUUUACUGUGUAAUCCAGGAUCUUCCCCCCAAUCUCAUAAAACCUCCCCAUUUUACAGAUGAGGCAACUCCAGACACAGACCUGCUAAAACCCCAAGCCCAUACUCUGUCUGGAGAGACCCCGUCCCUGCAAAAAGCCAUGUAACAAAAUGAAAAUUCGAGGCUGGGAGGAGUGGCUCCCGCCUGUAAUCUCAGCAAUUUGGGAGGCUAAGGCGGAUGGAUCACUUGAGGCCAAGAGUUUGAGACCAGCCUGGCCAACAUGGUGAAACCCUGUCUCUACUAGAAAUACAAAAAUUUAGCUGUGUGUGGUGGUGGAUGCCUGUAAUUUUAGCUACGCAGGAGACUGAGGCAGGAGAAUCAUUUGAACCUGGGAGGUGGAGGUUGCAGUGAGCUGAGAUUGAGCCACUGCACUCCAGCCUGGGUGAGAGACUCUGCCUCAAAAAGAAGAAAGAGAAGGAAAGAAAGAAAGAAAGGAGGGAGGGAAGGAAGGAAGGAGAGGGAGAGAGAGAGAGGAAAGAAGGAAGGAAGGAAGGAAAAGGAGGGAGGGAGGGAGGAAAGAUGAGGGAAGGAAGACAGCAAGGAAGGAAGGAAGACAGAAAGAAAGAGAGA